CGAGUCGGUUGGGCGGCUGCGGCACGGAGAACUGGCGGAGCGAUUCCGGCAAGCUCCGAGCCGAGGAAAGUCCGGACUCCACAGAGCAGGGCGGUUGCUAACGGCAACCCGAGGUGACUCGCGGGACAGUGCCACAGAAAACAGACCGCCUGCACCACACUUUUUUCGGAAAGUGCAGUGCAGGUCAGGGUGAAACGGUGCGGUAAGAGCGCACCAGCACCCCAGGUGACUGGGGUGGCUAGGUAAACCCCGCCCGGAGCAAGGUCGAAGGCCGAACCUUUUCCGAAAGGUCCGGCUGCGCAGGUGUUCGAGGGCUGCUCGCCCGAGCCUGCGGGUUGACUGCUCGAGGUACCCGGCGACGGUGUGCCCAGAUGGAUGGUCGUCGUUCUGCGCGCGCUCUCGAGCGUGCGUGGUUCACAGGAUCCGGCUUAUAUGCCGACUCGUUCG
rnacentral:RNase_P_RNA from 2 species